rnacentral:rRNA from 1 species
UACGGGGGGAGCAAGCGUUGUUCGGAUUUACUGGGCGUAAAGGGCGCGUAGGCGGCACCGCAAGUCGACUGUGAAAUCUCCGGGCUUAACCCGGAAAGGUCAGCCGAUACUGCGGGGCUAGAGUGCAGAAGGGGCAACUGGAAUUCUCGGUGUAGCGGUGAAAUGCGUAGAUAUCGAGAGGAACACCUGCGGCGAAGGCGGGUAGCUGGGCCGACACUGACGCUGAGGCGCGAAAGCCAGGGGAGCGAACGGG